rnacentral:misc_RNA from 1 species
CAACCCUCACGCCUAGCGUGGUAUUGGGCUCGCCUAUUAGGCCUGCCUCAAAGUCAGUGGCGGCAACAUCAGACCCCUAAGCGUAGUAAUACUCGCAGCUUCUGGGAGACGGUGGUGGCCUGCCAGCAACCCCCAAUUUAUUAA